CACGUAGGGCGCAAGCGUUGUCCGGAAUUAUUGGGCGUAAAGAGCUCGUAGGCGGUCUGUUGCGUCCGCUGUGAAAACUCGGGGCUUAACCCCGAGCCUGCAGUGGAUACGGGCAGACUAGAGGUAGGUAGGGGAGAAUGGAAUUCCCGGUGUAGCGGUGAAAUGCGCAGAUAUCGGGAGGAACACCGGUGGCGAAGGCGGUUCUCUGGGCCGGUACUGACGCUGAGACGCGAAAGCGUGGGGAGCGAACAGG
rnacentral:rRNA from 1 species